ACUACUGGUGCAGCAAUUACAACUACCAGUGCUGCAACUACAACUACAGGUGCUGCAACUACAACCACUGGUGCUGCAACUACAACCUCAGCUGCUCCAACUACAACCACCAGUGCUGCGACUUUAACCACCGGUGCGGUAACUACAACCACCGCUGCUGCAACCACAACUACAGUUGCUGCAACUACUACAGAGGCAGUCACGACAAGGCAGUUGACUUUCCGCUCUGAUGAGACAUAUACAAGCGACUUGGGAAUUUCAUCAUCUGCAGCUUUUAUAGCUCGAGCCACACUGUUAAAGACAAAUCUUGAACCAUUCUACCGAGCCGCCUAUUCUUCAUUCCGCCUCAUCACAGUGAAUUCAUUCAGGAAUGGAUCAAUCAUUAACGAAUUGGGCCUUGGAUUUGCAUCCACAUCUGUUCCUAAUAACACUCAGAUUGCAAAUACUUUGAUUGACGCAGCCUCAAAUAUCACAGCCUUCAACAUUGACACCACCUCCAUUUCUGUGGAUGGCACACAAGUUUCAAGUGGAGUGAGCCACAAGUUCAGUCUCAUCACUGCAUCCUUCCUUGUGCUGCUGUCCUGGAUGCUGUCAAGCCAGCAGUAGUGUCAGUGAUGAUGUCUAUGUGAAACCCCAUCAAAAAGUAACUCCUAUCACUGGUAUGAAAAAGGACUUUGUUCCCAUUCUGAAUUGAAGAAGCCCUCUGAGGAUCCCAACUGUUAUAUAUGACUUGGAAUUAACUUCCAGACAUGAAAUUCAAAGUUGGUUGGUCACACAUAAUGACAACAAAGGUCUAUUCAACCUUGAUAACAGAGACCUUUACUAGAACUUUUCAUUGUUUCUCUGUCUGACAUCCCAGGAAGCCCAUCAAUGAGGGGCACAACUAUAAGCACCUGGCCCCCAAAAAAGAGCUAUAACUGCAAUGAUGAUUAUAAUCAAACUUGAAUGUAUUUUGUUACAAUGACAUAAUUUAAAGCCAGAUAUAUUCAAAUUGAACAUGAAGGUGAGACCUUUGAAUUGAUUUGAAUGUCAAAAUUAUUUACACUGCAUUCAGUUAGACGCUGUUUAAGAGUUGU